AUGUUGGGUUAAGUCCCGCAACGAGCGCAACCCUUCGACCUUAGUUGCCAGCAUUCAGUUGGGCAACUCUAAGGUGACUGCCGGGCUAAAAGUCGGAGGAAGUGGGGAUGACGUCAAAUCAUCAUGCCCCUUAUGACCUGGGCUACACACGUGCUACAAUGGGCGGUACAAAGGGUCGCGAACCCGCGAGGGGGAGCCAAUCCCAAAAAGCCGCUCUCAGUUCGGAUUGCAGGCUGCAACUCGCCUGCAUGAAGCCGGAAUCGCUAGUAAUCGCGGAUCAGCAUGCCGCGGUGAAUACGUUCCCGGGCCUU
rnacentral:rRNA from 1 species